GGGGUGCUCGAGUGGCGAACGGGUGAGUAACACGUGAGUAACCUGCCCUUGACUUUGGGAUAACUUCAGGAAACUGGGGCUAAUACCGGAUAGGAGCUCCUGCUGCAUGGUGGGGGUUGGAAAGUUUGGCGGUUGGGGAUGGACUCGCGGCUUAUCAGCUUGUUGGUGGGGUAGUGGCUUACCAAGGCUUUGACGGGUAGCCGGCCUGAGAGGGUGACCGGCCACAUUGGGACUGAGAUACGGCCCAG
rnacentral:rRNA from 1 species